rnacentral:rRNA from 1 species
CAGAACGAACGCUGGCGGCAGGCUUAACACAUGCAAGUCGAACGCGUGUAGCAAUACACGAGUGGCGCACGGGUGAGUAACGCGUGGAUAUCUGCCUUUGGUCGGAAUACCCCGGGAACUGGGGCUAAUACCGGAUGGUUCCUACGGGAUAAAGAUUUAUCGCCAAAAGAUGAGUCCGCGUACGAUUAGCUAGUUGGUGAGGUAAUGGCUCACCAAGGCGACGAUCGUUAGCUGGUCUGAGAGGACGAUCAGCCACACUGGGACUGAGACACGGCCCAGACUCCCACGGGAGGCAGCAGUGGGGAAUAUUGGACAAUGGGGGCAACCCUGAUCCAGCCAUGCCGCGUGAGUGAUGAAGGCCUUCGGGUUGUAAAGCUCUUUUGGCGGGGACGAUGAUGACGGUACCCGCAGAAUAAGCCCCGGCUAACUUCGUG